CCAAAACCCUAAUUAGAAAGCCUUUAGUUCUCCUUCAAAACAACAGCCACAACAAACAUUUAAAAAAAAAUAAUUGCUCUGAUAAGGCUCUUUUAACCCAUUUUGCGCCGCCGUUCGUGCCAACGCUCCGAUUGCGACGGAGAUGGCAACCAUCCGGCGGCUUUGACGAAAGAGGUAAGAUCCCUUUCUUUUCUUUAUUAUUUUAAAUGAAAUAAAACGAAAAUAAAAGAGAAUAAAACAAUAUAUAUGUAAAAAACGAUGGACACUACAAAGCAAAACAAAGAAGAAAUCACCUAUGCAAAAACAAGUUUGAUCUCUCUAUUUUCUCUCUAUUUCUUUGCAUAUAUUUUCGACUGAAUCCCCCACUUUACAGAUUUUCGAUCGGUUUAUAUAACCGAAAUAAAGAAAAAUAAAAUAAAAUCCAAACGAAAAUCCUUAUUUCCUAUUAUUGUUGCGCUGUUAUUUUUUGUUAUUUCCUUCUUUCUCUUUGCUAUUUGUUUGUUGCUGCAGAUGUGUGCACGACGUGCGUAGGGGAGAGUCAUGCUGCGACAUUCGCGGCGGCGAGGGUAAGGCUGUUGUUGGGAUAUGCGGCUAAGGCUGGAAGCUACUAGGGUUUUUUUGUGUGUGUGUGUUUUAGGCUAAUGGGUUGGGUCUAUUGAAAGGUAUUGGGCUAGGGUUAAUUUUAUUGGGCCUGGGUGUUAUAUUUAUUUUGGGUUUUAGACUGGGCCUGGACAAAUAAUUGGUGUUACAGAAGUCUUACAAUAUAAUAUUGAAAUCUUACAAAUUUAAAUUACUAAUAAAUUAAUUUUAAAAUAAUUAAAAACACAAAAAUUUAAAACAUAAUUCUAAAUUACUAACAAAUUAAUUUUAAAAUAAUUAUAAAAAGUAAAAAAAUUUACAUUCAUACAAAAUACUAAUCAAAACUAUAAACACUAAACAUAAAUAAUUUAUAAUUAAUAAUUAAUAACAAAAAAAUCACAAUAUCUUAAUUAAACUCUUUAAAUUGUAAACAAAAUUAUUUACUAAAAUAAUACAUUACCUUUCUUCUUCUCCUUUUUCUCUUUUCUUUCUCUUUUCCAGUUGAUACAUGGGUUUGGGGGACCAUACUUAUAAGGUCUCCCAUUUGUAAUUUUUUCCCAUUGAAGGGACAAUAGCCUGGUGGAAGGGACAACACCAUGGUGAAAGGGACAGAGGCAGUAGCAUGGGCAUUGGUGUCUAUUUGUCAGGCGCAAUUAGUGGCUCCUAUCUGACAGACGCGACCCAUUGACCCGUUUUUUACUCGUAUUUUGACCCGUUAACCGUAUUUUUACCUAUAUUUAUAUUUAAAUAUUUUUAAUAAAAAAAAUAUUUUAUUUAAACCAAAAAAGAAAAAAAAUUAAUAUAAAAAAUUCAUUCGCAGCUGUCAGAUAGGAACCGUUAAAAAAACAUACAAUUUCGGUAAUUAAUUCAUCUGACAAUUUAUUUCGAUAUUUAAUUUUUUUAAUAUAUUCCAGUAAAAAACCCGUUAUAUUUUAAUUGCUAUUUUUUAAAAUAUCUAUUUUCAUCGCAUAUUUUUUUAAGGGAAACUGGGUUAUUUUAUUUAUAAUAAUAAAAUAAUAAAAUGAACGAAAUCAGACGAUGAGGAAUAAUUCAAAUCCAAACAAAAACAAAACUGAACAAACAAAAUAAAAACAACCCAUCAAUGAGCUAGCAUCCAUUCAGAAGAGUAUUCUGAAACUCUUUCAAUCCCUAAAGCCAUAUUCAUGGUCUCUUUUCCUGUCCUAUGAGCAGUACCAUGGAAUCCAAACGACAACCUUUUAUUUCUAGUUUAAUCACGUCGUGCACCUCUCCUUCUUAUAACGGAGAUGCCUUGAAACUUCAUCGGAAACUCGAAGAAACUCAGCAACCCAUCACCGCCUCAAGUAACCCACCUUCAUUGAACCAUCCCACCCAGCCACAACCCCGGACCUCGUAACCCCACCCCUGAUAACAGCAGCCCUCAAUAACCUCCCCCACUUCCAAACCUGUCAUUUCCUUGUCCGACAACUAAACCCCCUUCCUUCCCCCCCUCCCCCCCCCCCCUCACCUUCAUACGCCUCCGAGACCCCUCUCAAGGGACUUAAUUUCAUCACCCAAUGCGAUUCUAUCAGAGACGACACCUACCAUUUCUUCCCCCUUCCUCCAUCUGCAUGCCGGACCAGUUGUUCUCCAUCGCAUCCCUCACAAAGUCCGAUACACACCCUCCCAAAUAAGUACUCCCACCCCUCAUCAACCCCUUUUUAGCUAAUAUAUGUGCAACUUUAUUUUGCAUCCCUGGGAACACGUAUGAAUAAACAUUUUUUGAAACCCUUUACUUUUAACUUUGCAUCAUAUAUAUAGGCCCUUAUAACCGACCCAUCAUCACAGCAGGAUUUCAUCUUUUUAAUCACCGACAGAGCAUCCCCUUCUAGCAUCUCCUCUUGGAUCCCUAAGUCAAUCGCCAAACUCACUGCCUAGAGACAUGUAAGAGCCUCCGCUGCAAAACCCGUAGGUAUGUGGCAGUUUACAAUUGCUCUUGAGCCUACCACUUGACCUCUCCCAUUUCUAAUAAAAAUCCCUAUAUAUGAUCUCCUAUCCUUCCCUUGAAAUGUUGAGUCAAAAUUUAUUUUAAGAAAAGGAUCCCUCAGGGGCCUCCGCCGCUCAUACUCAACCCUUCGAACAGACCAAAUAAACCAUAGAGCACAUACCACAAUUCUACAUGUAGUAAUCGGGAACGUGGAAACAAUAUGAGUAAGCCAAUCCUGCAAAGAUACAUUAGCAAUAUCAUCAGGCCAUUUCAAAUCUAACCUUCUCUAUAUUUCCUCGACAGAAAGACAUUCUCUAAAGAUAUGCUCUGAGGUCUCGACAUCUCUUGUAUAUUUUGGACACAUUGCUUAACUCCGCAGCCUCUUAUUACACAAAUUAGAGUAUCUAGGGAUGUAAUUUUUAAAAAUUUGCCAUGCUGUAAUUUUUAUUUUCUCUGGUAGAUUGAUUUGCCUGAGUUUCUUAAAGAAAUUUGUAUAAUUACCAUAAUUAUCAGUAGGCUCAAGUGAGAUAUCACUCCAGAGUAGGAUCUUAUAGCCGCUCCUUACGGUAAAAUCGUCCGACGACUCUUCCCCCCAAACUACCAUGUCCUCUUAUAGAUUCCCAACAAUAGGGAUACACCGUACCCUCUCAGCAAUCUCUUCACUCGAAUGCAUGGCCAGGAACCUAUACAUCCUCCCAAAUUCUGAUAUUAGACUUGAAGCCCACUCGCCAGCCCAACCCCAAAUUGAUCAGACCCCUUGCAGCCUAAACGCUCUUACAAGUAUAUGAUGGGUCAGUACUAGAGGUGUUCAUGGGCCGGGUGGCCGGCCCGGCCCGAUGGCUCGGCCCGGUCCGGCUGAAAUAUGGGAGGGUUUGGGUAAAAAUAUAGACCCGAAAUAUGAGCUUGGGCAAAAAAAUGAGGCCCGUUUAGAAAACGGGCCAGGCCUCGGGCACCACUUUUUGGCCCGGGCCCGGCUUGACCCGGCCCGAAUAUAAUAAAUAUAUAUUUUUUAUUUUUAAAAAUAUUUUAAAAUACUUUUUUAUUUUUAAAAUAUUUUUUUAAUUUUCUAAAUUUUUUUUUGUGUUUAUUUAAAAAAUGGGCUGGGCCGGGCCGGGCCCGGGCUUAGGAAUUUUUUCCCCGGGCCGGGCCUAGACAAAAUUCCAGGCCCAUAUUUUGGGCCGGGCCUGGGCCUAGGACUCAGGCCGAAUUUUUUUAUGGGUCCAGCCCGAACCCGGCCUUGUCCGGCCCAUGAACACCUCUAGUGACCGCGCUAAAAGAGAAUCCGGAUAUUUAUUCAAACGCCAUCCCUAUUUUGCAUGUAAGGCAAUAUUAAAAUUUUCCAAAUUAUGAGAAUCCAAACCUCCAUCCUCCUUUAGGUCAUACAACUUUGAUCACUUGCACCAAUGAAUACCCUUUUUUCCCCAUGCUUUUGCCACCAAAAUCGACUAAUAAUACGUUCUAACUCCAAGCAAAAUGAAAUUGAUAAUAAGAAACAUGACAUUGCAAAGGUAGGAAUGGCUUGCAAAACACUUUUAAUUAAAGUCUCCUUACCCCUUGCGAUAAAGGCCUAACACACCAGUUCGCAACACUUCUCAAGCGAUCCUUAAAAACUUGAAAAGCCCACCAUUUAUUUUGGCCAACCAUAUUGGGUAAACCCAAGUAUCGCUUCGGGUCAGUAGAGGAAUAGACCUCUAAACAUGCAGCUAUAUCCUCCCUACACUGUUCUUCCACAUUUGCACUGAAAUAGACAACUGAUUUAUCAAAAUUAAUACAUUGACCUGACGAAUUCUCAUAUUUUGCGAAAAUCUGCUUCAAAAUCAUAGCUCUAUUUAUCGUCACCUCCCUAAACAGAAUAUAAUCAUCUGUGAACAAUAACUGUGAGAUUUUCAGACCCUUCUAACUAAUUUUUUUCUCCCCUCACCAACUUCUACCGAAUUGUUCUUCGCAUAAGAAAAGACAACCCCUCACUACAAAUAAGAAACAAGUAGGGACUAAAGGGAUUCCCUUGCUGAAGACCCCUUAUAAGAGAAAAAUUCUUUCCCAAUUUACCAUUUAGAACCACAAAAUAAGAUACUAUACUAAUACAAUGCACAAUGAAAUCCACCCAGCUUUUCAAGAAACCCAUCUUCAACAUCAUCUUCUCUAAAAAACCCCCACUCCAUCUUGUCAUAUACCUUACUCAUAUCCAGUUUGAUUAGCUUUCCUAGAACAAAAGCGAUUUGUGCCUCAUCCACACACAAGCUCAACACUUUUUGAAAUCUAUUCACCACUGUUUUCGAAAUGAUCUUAUACAAAACAAAGCAUAAACUAAUGGGCCGAAAUUGUUGGAUUUCCAUUUUUGGGGAUAAAGACAAUAUUUGUUUUAUUUAUGUAAGCAAGAGACUUACCACCAUUUAGAACCUCAAGGCAAUAGUCUCCAACAUUCUGCCCCACUAUGUGCCAAUAGUUCUGAUAGAACAAAACUAGAAGACCAUCUGAUCUUGACGCUUUGGUUGGCGUCAUAGCUUUCAAAGCAGUAAGGAUUUCCUCCCUUUCAUAGGUAGCAUUUAGGUUAUUAUUCAUCUCGCCAGUAAUGCAUGGUUCCACUCCCUCUAAAAUAUGAUCAGAAUUCCUACAUCCCUGUGAUGUAAAUAACUGCAUGAAAUAAUCAUUAACAAUAUCAAACAACUCAUCUCUUGUCUGAAACAAUUUGCCCACAUCCUCCAAUUAAACCCUUAAUUAUAUUCAUUCUCUGCCUCAGUGACGCAAAUCGAUGGGAAAACCCGUGUUUCAGUCCCUCAUCUUCAACCAAUUCACACGUGGUCUCUGCUCCCAAUAAAGUUCUUCCUUAUCAAUUUCAAGAUUCAUUUCCAACUUUGUUCCUAAAAGAUCAGAGAUAUUCUCCUCAUCUCUAUCCCCCUCAUUGAGAUCUAUCAACCGAUUUUGCAACCCUUUAAUUUUCCCCCUUCCUCAAUCUCAAACGAGCCGCCCAACGUUUCAUUUUACAUAAUUAAAUUAUUUGUACAUAAUUCUAGACCAACACAAUAAGAAGCAUAUUGUCACCACUUAAAGACACAUUCAUUUUACAAAGAGAUAGAAAGAGUGAGAUUCACACCCUAAACAUAGUAAAGUGAGUUAAAAAUGAGUAGGGUGAUUGUUGGAUUUCUAUACAUGCUUAAGCUUAAAAAUCACUAACUCAAAAUAUAGAGAUUUUAUUUUGUAAAUUAGAUAUCUCAAGCUUAACACUAAGUGAUCAAUAUCUAUAAAAUACCUAAAAAUAAGAAGACAUUCAAUCUCUAUUCGACCCGCAAGACAUUAUGUUCCAGAAGCCAUAUAAAAAUAUCAAAAAAACAAAAACAACUAUAAAAUCUAACCAAAAUUUAAAGCAACGGUCUAACCAAAAUCCAACAAAGAAAUAUCCAAAGCCUCGAAUAUGGAAUUAGAGGUCAAUGUUACCACAUCACACACACAAACGCUCUAAACAUUCUACUUUGGAUGAUCACAAAAUCUUGUCUAUUCUGCCACUACUUAAAAGACUACACAUGAAGUCUCUCUAAACUUCGAAGGAAACUUUGCUUACAUACAUAUAAAGGCGAAAACAACUGACAAGGAAACUUCAAAAUAAGUUCACUAAGAUAAAAUAUUUUAAAAAUAAAAGGGGGUAAACUACCAAAUAGUUAUUUUUGUUUGUCUCAGGUUACAUUUUAGUCACUUAUGUUUGAAAUGUUAUAUUUUAGUCACUUACGUUAUCAUGUUAUAACAUUUUAGUCACUGAACGUUAAUUUCUGUUAACUGUGUAACGGUAAGCUCAAUGGCGUAUCUAGGGGGAUGUCAGGGGAUCCCCCCUAAAAUGGAAAAUUGUUCAUUUAAGCCCUUUAGAAAUUUUAAAAUUUUAAAUUAGUAAAAUUAAAUUUGCAC